UACGGAGGGGGCUAGCGUUGUUCGGAAUUACUGGGCGUAAAGCGCACGUAGGCGGCUUUGCAAGUUAGAGGUGAAAGCCCGGGGCUCAACCCCGGAAUUGCCUUUAAAACUGCAUCGCUAGAAUUGUGGAGAGGGAUGCGGAAUUCCAGGUGUAGCGGUGAAAUGCGUAGAUAUCCGGAGGAACACCGGUGGCGAAGGCGGCAUCCUGGACCGGCAUUGACGCUGAAUAGCGAAAGCCAGGGGAGCAAAGCGGG
rnacentral:rRNA from 1 species